rnacentral:rRNA from 1 species
UACGACUACAUAUCAGGCAUAUCAAUAAGCGGAGGAAAAGAAACUAACAAGGAUUCCCUUAGUAACGGCGAGUGAAGCGGGAAGAGCUCAGAUUUGAAAUCUUCAAGGUUCUACCUUGACGAAUUGUAGUUUAAAGAAGUGUUUUCUGUUAGAUGAGUAGCAAAAGUUCCUUGGAAUGGGACAUCAUAGAGGGUGAGAAUCCCGUAUUUGACCGUUACUUUCCAGCUGUGUGAUACACUUUCAAAGAGUCGGAUUGUUUGGGAAUGCAGUCCAAGAUGGGUGGUAAAUUUCAUCUAAAGCUAAAUAUUGGCGAGAGACCGAUAGCGAACAAGUACCGUGAGGGAAAGAUGAAAAGAACUUUGAAAAGAGAGUUAAACAGUACGUGAAAUUGUCAAAAGGGAAGCGUUUGACACCAGUGUUGUUUUUCCAAAAAUCAAUUACGAAUGGCUUGAUUUUGUGUUGUAUUGACCUUAUCAGCUUUCUGCACUUUUUUCGAGUCUUUCUUAAUGCACUUUUCGGUUAACAAGUCAACAUCAAUUUCUUUUGUUGUAAAAGAGUAUUCGGAAGGUGGCUUUCUUUUCGGAGAAAGUGUUUAUAGCCCUAUACUUCUACAAUCGGAGAGAUUGAGGUCUGCAGCGUAGAUCCUUCGGGGUUAGAUACACUUGUGCUAAGUUGUAGCUUUUCAUAGACAACUUGUUGACUAUGUUUAGUCAUGCGGCUCACUCGCUUGUGCUAUUUUACCUACGCUUAGGAUGUUGAGUAGCGACAUACGCAC